GGGCGACACCUGCAGCUCCUACCGACCGCUGCCUCCUCCGCAAUGGGGAUGGUUCUGUACAGCUGGAGCCGAUGGGGAAAGCCACUUACUCACAUUUCUUCCUUGAAAUGGAUGGGUGCCCUCAGCCUUCCUAGUCAGUCACACUACUGGGGACACAGGAAUCUUCUGGGCAAACAGCUGCUCAGCCAAGGGGGCUUUGGAUCCAGCAGACUCCCAAAUAGAUGCUCUCUAAACUGCCUGCUCAGACCACCUCACCAGUGAAUGCCAGGUGACACCAUCCCCUAGGCUUGAGCCUGACCUGUGGAAGAGCGAAGAAAGCUAGUUGACAGCAAACAAGUCAUCACCAUAGGUGUAUCUGCCUCUCUCUGCUCUUUACUAUGGAUGUGAUGUGUCCAGAUGUCUCAAGUUCCUGCUUCUGACUUCCCUGUAACGAUGGACAUCCUGCCUGGAAAAAACAGCACCAUGGAGGACCCAGCCUCCCUGUUUCCCAGGAGCUCCUCUGAAGGCACAAUACAGAGCCCAGCAGCCAGCCCACAGUCACACAGCCAAGUGAGGGCAAAGCUCGCUCUUGAACUAGGUGGAUUAGCUAAAUCCAACAGAUCAGGCUUGGAUUCAGUGAGGAUGUUUCUCAGUGUUCACUGCUGGCUAAUGGGCACUGAGCAGGUCACUCUCCUGACAUGGUUCUCAACCAAUGGUGUGACUUUCUCCAACAGCCUAGCCCAACAUUCCUUCUGAGUCCAGUGUCACUGUGCCACUGCACACAGCACCCACAGCCCAAGAGCACCCAUCCAUAUGCCUUCUGGUCUCCACUCUGCAUGGCUCUGAUGUCACCAUACUGACUGACCCCAGACUGCCCACUCUGCCAAACAGAAGCCCUGGAAGCCUGGGAACAGAACUUGGCUGCAUCCUGACACCCAGAAUGCACUGUGUCUUCCAGGGCAGCUUGGGGAUCUCUACUCCAAGGAGGCGCUAAGGCACCCAACACUGAAUUCACAGAGCUGUCUUCUAGCCCUGCCCUACUCUGAAGACAUUUGCCACCUUUGGUGUAACUACCACCCCCGUGUUGGUUAAUAUAUUCAUUUGGCAGGGUUCAGGAUCAUCUAGAAGAUAAACUUCUGGGCAGGCCUGUGAGGAAGUUUCUAGAUUGCAUUGAAGUGGGAAGACCCAUCUGACAUGUGUAGUAGUAUCUCUUGGGGUUCAGUGGUAGAACACUUGCCUAGCAUAUACAGGCUGUGGGUUUGAUCCUGUCCUGGCUAGUAUUAUGACAACCUGACACAAGAUAAGUCAUUUGGGGAAAAGGGAACCUCAGUUGAGAAAAUGCUUCCAUAAGAAUGGCCUAUAGUGCAGUUUUAUAAUUAGUGAUUGGGGGCUGGAGAGAUGGCUCAGUGGUUAAGAGCACUGACUGCUCUUCCAGAGGUUCUGAGUUCAAUUCCCAGCAACCACAUGGUGGCUCACAACCAUCUGUAAUGGGAUCUGACGCCCUCUUCUGGUGUGUCUGAAGACAGCUAUAGUACUCAUAUACAUAAAAUAAAUAAAUCUUUGGGCUGGAGAGAUGGCUCAGAGGUUAAGACAGCUACAGUGUAUUUACAUAUCAUAAAUAAAAUAUUUU
rnacentral:lncRNA from 1 species